CCUACGGGGGGCAGCAGUGGGGAAUAUUGCACAAUGGGCGGAAGCCUGAUGCAGCGACGUCGCGUGAGGGAUGGAGGCCUUCGGGUUGUGAACCUCUUUCGCCAGUGAGGAAGGCCUUGCCCGUGUGGUGGGGUUGACGGUAGCUGGGUUAAUUGAAGCGCCGGCUAACUACGUGCCAGCAGCCGCGGUAAUACGUAGGGCGCGAGCGUUGUCCGGAAUUAUUGGGCGUAAAGGGCUUGUAGGCGGUUGGUCGCGUCUGCCGUGAAAUCCUCUGGCUCAGCUGGGGGCGUGCGGUGGGUACGGGCUGGCUUGAGUGCGGUAGGGGAGGCUGGAACUCCUGGUGUAGCGGUGGAAUGCGCAGAUAUCAGGAGGAACACCGGUGGCGAAGGCGGGUCUCUGGGCCGUUACUGACGCUGAGGAGCGAAAGCGUGGGGAGCGAACAGGAUUAGAUACCCGUGUAGUC
rnacentral:rRNA from 1 species